AGUAGAAUGGCUGAGAUAGUAAUAGAUUGUAAAUCUAUAAAGGGGUUUUUAACUCUUCUACUA
rnacentral:tRNA from 1 species